rnacentral:rRNA from 1 species
AUUGAACGCUGGCGGCAGGCUUAACACAUGCAAGUCGAGCGGGGGAAGGUAGCUUGCUACUGGACCUAGCGGCGGACGGGUGAGUAAUGCUUAGGAAUCUGCCUAUUAGUGGGGGACAACAUCUCGAAAGGGAUGCUAAUACCGCAUACGUCCUACGGGAGAAAGCAGGGGAUCUUCGGACCUUGCGCUAAUAGAUGAGCCUAAGUCGGAUUAGCUAGUUGGUGGGGUAAAGGCCUACCAAGGCGACGAUCUGUAGCGGGUCUGGGAGGAUGAGCCGCCACACUGGGACUGAGACACGGGCCAGACUCCUACGGGAGGCAGCAGUGGGGAAUAUUGGACAAUGGGGGGAACCCUGAUCCAGCCAUGCCGCGUGUGUGAAGAAGGCCUUAUGGUUGUAAAGCACUUUAAGCGAGGAGGAGGCUACUUUAGUUAAUACCUAGAGAUAGUGGACGUUACUCGCAGAAUAAGCACCGGCUAACUCUGUGCCAGCCGCCGCUGUAACAC